UACGUAGGUGGCAAGCGUUGUCCGGAUUUACUGGGUGUAGAGGGCGUGCAGCCGGGCUGACAAGUCAGACGUGAAAUCCCGCGGCUCAACCGCGGAACUGCAUUUGAAACUGUCAGUCUUGAGUACCGGAGAGGUCAUCGGAAUUCCUUGUGUAGCGGUGAAAUGCGUAGAUAUAAGGAAGAACACCAGUGGCGAAGGCGGAUGACUGGACGGCAACUGACGGUGAGGCGCGAAAGCGUGGGGAGCAAACAGG
rnacentral:rRNA from 1 species